UCAGGCCUUUGGGUGAAGGUAGGGUUAGGGGGUGCAGGCUGGAUCCUCAUGUAAGGUAUAAAGAAGUCAGUUGGUCCAGAGCCCGGGCCUCAGGUCUCCAGUUUGAAGACUUUCAUGUCUCUCUCCUUCCUCACAGGUGCCCUUUGGGGAAGUAAGCAUGGUCCGGGACUGGUUGGGCAUUGUGGGGCCUGUGCUGACCCCUCCCCAAGAGCAUCCUAAACGACCAGUGCUGGGACUGGAGUGCCCACAGUCAGAAGGACCAAGACAAAGCAUGGGACGUGAAAUUAAGAGUGAACUUCUUAUGGGAGGCUGCAGCUGGAUCAGAAGAAAAAUCCAUUGUGGCAGAGUGAAAGCCAGAAGACCUGGCUUUUCAUCCCAGCUUUGGAGACUUGGAACUUUUUGAUUGACAAAUUAAUAAACCUCUCUAUGCCUCAGGCUCCUCAUCUGUAAAA
rnacentral:sRNA from 1 species